GCGGUAACCGCCUAGCCUUUGUCCUGCCAAAAACGAGAGAGAAGAGGGUAGAGAGAGAAUUGGUUAGGAUUUCAGUUUAAAAAAAAAUAAAAAAAUAAAAAAAGAGAGAGAGAGGAAGGAAAAGGGGUAAGAGAAGAAGAGAGGGAAGGGAGGACUUAUCUUUUNCCGGCAACCGGCGGCGGGUGGCUUCCGAUCUGCCAAAGAGGGAGAGAUUAGAUUAUAAAAAAAAGGGAAGGAGAGAAAGAGAAAAACUAAAGAAAGUUAGGGUUUUUACCAGGGCAAAC
rnacentral:lncRNA from 1 species